AACGAACGCUGGCGGCAGGCUUAACACAUGCAAGUCGAACGCCCCGCAAGGGGAGUGGCAGACGGGUGAGUAACGCGUGGGAACAUACCCUUUUCUACGGAAUAGCUCUGGGAAACUGGAAUUAAUACCGUAUACGCCCUACGGGGGAAAGAUUUAUCGGGGAAGGAUUGGCCCGCGUUGGAUUAGCUAGUUGGUGGGGUAAAGGCCUACCAAGGCGACGAUCCAUAGCUGGUCUGAGAGGAUGAUCAGCCACAUUGGGACUGAGACACGGCCCAAACUCCCACGGGAGGGAGCAGUGGGGAAAAAUGGAACAUGGGCGCAAACCUGAACCAGCCCUGCCGGGUGAGUGAAGGAAGCCUUAGGGUUUUUAAGGUCCUUCCCCCGUGAAGAUAAUGGCCGUAAUCGGGGAAGGAGCCCCGGCUAACCUCGU
rnacentral:rRNA from 1 species